AACGUAGGACACAAGCGUUAUCCGGAGUUACUGGGCGUAAAGGGCGUGUAGGCGGAUAUAUAAGUCUAUUCUGAAAGCCCACGGCUCAACCGUGGAGGGUCAUUGGAAACUGGGGGACUUGAGUGCAGAAGAGGAAAGUGGAAUUCCAAGUGUAGCGGUGAAAUGCGUAGAGAUUUGGAGGAACACCAGUGGCGAAGGCGACUUUCUGGUCUGUAACUGACACUGAGGCGCGAAAGCGUGGGGAGCAAACAGG
rnacentral:rRNA from 1 species